rnacentral:rRNA from 1 species
UACCUGCAGCUCGAGUGGUAACCGCUAUUAUUGGGCCUAAAGCGUCCGUAGCCGGUUUGGUAAAUAUCUGGGUAAAUCGUGAGGCUUAACUUCACGAAUUUCGGAUAGACUGCCAGACUUGGGAUCGGGGGAGGUCAGAGGUACUCCAGGGGUAGCGGUGAAAUGUUGUAAUCCUUGGAGGACCACCGGUAGCGAAGGCGUCUGACUAGAACGAGUCCGACGGUGAGGGACGAAGCCCUGGGGCGCAAACCGGGAUUAGAUACCCGGGUAGUCCAGGGUGUAAACUAUGUGGGCUUUGUAUUGGAGGUCCCACGUGGGCGUCCAGUGCAGAAGAGAAGUUGUUAAGCCACCGCCUGGGAAGUACGGUCGCAAGGCUGAAACUUAAAGGAAUUGGCGGGGAGCACAGCAACGGGAGGAGCGUGCGGUUU